rnacentral:lncRNA from 1 species
UAUGAAUGCCCCCAGCAUGAGCUGUGCUGUCCAACAAGGUAAACUCAUGCAAUGGGAUUGUCGUAAAGGAAGGGAAAUGGGACGUUCUCUGAGUUCUGACUCUCCCUUUGAAGAACCACCAAGACCAGUGAAAAGAAGUCAGUUACUGCCUUUAUAAUAUGGAACAAAUGGUCUUGCCCUAUGGACAACAUAAAACAGACCUCAAAGUUUGCACGUGGGCUGGUUCUGCACGGGAGUCAGCGAGAGCUGCAGGGAGCGGAGGAGUUCACCCACGAGGGAUUUCCUGCAGCCUACCCCAGCAAAGCUGCUGAGAAAUAAAUGAGACAUAAAUGAAAUAAAUGAGUGUCCG